GACGAACGCUGGCGGCAUGCCUAAUACAUGCAAGUUGAACGAUGAUAUUCUCUGCUUGCAGAGAAUUGAAGAGUAGCGAACGGGUGAGUAACACGUGGGGAACCUGCCCAUGAGAGGGGGAUAACAUUCGGAAACGGAUGCUAAUACCGCAUAAUGCUUUGGACCGCCUGGUCCAGAGACGAAAGACGGCUUUUGCUGUCACUCAUGGAUGGCCCCGCGCCGUAUUAGCUAGUUGGUGAGGUAAUGGCUCACCAAAGCUGUGAUACGUAGCCGACCUGAGAGGGUGAUCGGCCACACUGGGACUGCGACACGGCCCAGACUCCUACGGGAGGCAGCAGUAGGGAAUCUUCCACAAUGGGCGAAAGCCUGAUGGAGCAAUGCCGCGUGAAUGAAGAAGGUCUUCGGAUCGUAAAGUUCUGUUAUUAGAGAAGAACAAGUCAAGGAGUAACUGUCUUGACUUUGACGGUACCUAACCAGAAAGUCACGGCUAACUACGUG
rnacentral:rRNA from 1 species